rnacentral:rRNA from 1 species
AUUGAACGCUGGCGGCAGGCCCAACACAUGCAAGUCGAACGGUAACAGGAAGAAGCUUGCUUCUUUGCUGACGAGUGGCGGACGGGUGAGUAAUGUCUGGGAAACUGCCUGAUGGAGGGGGAUAACUACUGGAAACGGUAGCUAAUACCGCAUAAUGUCGCAAGACCAAAGAGGGGGACCUUCGGGCCUCUUGCCAUCGGAUGUGCCCAGAUGGGAUUAGCUAGUAGGUGGGGUAACGGCUCACCUAGGCGACGAUCCCUAGCUGGUCUGAGAGGAUGACCAGCCACACUGGAACUGAGACACGGUCCAGACUCCUACGGGAGGCAGCAGUGGGGAAUAUUGCACAAUGGGCGCAAGCCUGAUGCAGCUAUGCCGCGUGUAUGAAGAAGGCCUUCGGGUUGUAAAGUACUUUCAGCGGGGAGGAAGGGAGUAAAGUUAAUACCUUUGCUCAUUGACGUUACCCGCAGAAGAAGCACCGGCUAACUCCGUG